rnacentral:rRNA from 1 species
CCCUUAGAUGUCCUGGGCCGCACGCGCGUUACACUGAUGCAUUCAACGAGCUUAUAACCUUGGCCGAGAGGCCUGGGCAAUCUUGUUAACGUGCAUCGUGAUAGGGAUAGAUUAUUGCAAUUAUUAAUCUUGAACGAGGAAUUCCUAGUAAACGCAAAUCAUCAAUUUGCAUUGAUUACGUCCCUGCCCUUUGUACACACCGCCCGUCGCACCUACCGAUUGAAUGGUCCGGUGAAAUCUCGGGAUUGUGGCCAGUUCACUUUAUUGGGAGUUGGCUGCGAGAACUUGCUUAAACCUUAUCAUUUAGAGGAAGGUGAAGUCGUAACA